UACAGAGGGUGCUAGCGUUAAUCGGAAUUACUGGGCGCAAAGCGUGUGUAGGUGGUUAGAUAAGUUAGAUGUGAAAUCCCCGGGCUUAACCUGGGGACUGCGUUUAAGACUGUUUAGCUUGAGUACUGUAGAGGAUAGUGGAAUUUCCAGUGUAGCGGUGAAAUGCGUAGAUAUUGGAAGGAACACCAGUGGCGAAGGCGACUAUCUGGACAGAUACUGACACUGAGACACGAAAGCGUGGGGAGCAAACAGG
rnacentral:rRNA from 1 species